rnacentral:sRNA from 2 species
CUGAAGUCUGACGAGGAUGAGAACCUCCGGGGGCAAGAGGUUCGACUCGAGCGAAGCGAGAGAACGUUGCGUCAGCAACGGCCCGCAGGGCGAGCCACGCAGUGGCGAGUCAUCCUCUAUCACCGACCA